AUUGAACGCUGGCGGCAGGCCUAACACAUGCAAGUCGAGCGCAGAGGCGGACGGGUGGGUAAUGCCUAGGAAUCUGCCUGGUAGUGGGGUAUAAAGCCCAGAAAGGUGCCCUAAUGCCACAUACUUUAAGAUGAGCCUAGGUGGGAUGAGAUAGUUGGUGGGGUAAAGGCCUACCAAGGCGACGAUCCGUAACUGGUCUGAGAGGAUGAUCAGUCACACUGGAACUGAGACACGGUCCAGACUCCUACGGGAGGCAGCAGUGGGGAAUAUUGGACAAUGGGCGAAAGCCUGAUCCAGCCAUGCCGCAUGUGUGAAGAAGGUCUUCGGAUUGUAAAGCACUUUAAGUUGGGAGGCGUUACCUACAGAAUAAGCAACGGCUAACUUCGUGCCAGCAGCCGCGGUAAUUC
rnacentral:rRNA from 1 species